AAACUCUAGUUUCUCUUCAGACUGUAUACAUCUUUCGCCUUUUGCUAAAGAUUUAUGUGUAGAGGAACACUGAUGAACUAAUUUUUUUACUUUUGAAGAGCCUCAUGGUGUAAUGGUU
rnacentral:snRNA from 1 species